AUUGAACGCUGGCGGCAUGCUUUACACAUGCAAGUCGAACGGUAACAGGCCGCAAGGUGCUGACGAGUGGCGAACGGGUGAGUAAUGCAUCGGAACGUGCCCAGUCGUGGGGGAUAACGCAGCGAAAGCUGUGCUAAUAACGCAUAUGAUCUAUGGAUGAAAGCGGGGGACCGUAAGGCCUCGCGCGAUUGGAGCUGCCGAUGUCAGAUUGGGUAGUUGUUGGGGUAAAGGCCCACCAAGCCAACGAUCUGUAGCUGGUCUGAGAGGACGACCAGCCAACAUGGGAAUGAGACACGGCCCAGACUCCUACGGGAGGCAGCAGUGGGGAAUUUUGGACAAUGGGCGCAAGCCUGAUCCAGCAAUGCCGCGUGCAGGAAGAAGGCCUUCGGGUUGUAAACUGCUUUUGUACGGAACGAAAAGGUCUGGGUUAAUACCCUGGGCCGAUGACGGUACCGUAAGAAUAAGCACCGGCUAACUACGUGCCAGCCGCCGCCGUAAGAC
rnacentral:rRNA from 1 species